rnacentral:rRNA from 1 species
UACAGAGACUGCAAGCGUUAUUCGGAUUCAUUGGGCGUAAAGGGUGCGCAGGCGGCCGUGUGUGUGAGGCGUGAAAGCCCGGGGCUUAACCCCGGAAUUGCACCUCAAACUACACGGCUAGAGCAUUGGAGAGGGUAGCAGAAUUCACGGUGUAGCAGUGAAAUGCGUAGAUAUCGUGAGGAAUACCAGAGGCGAAGGCGGCUACCUGGACAAUUGCUGACGCUCAGGCACGAAAGCGUGGGGAGCAAAAGGG